rnacentral:rRNA from 1 species
UACGUAGGGGGCAAGCGUUGUCCGGAAUCAUUGGGCGUAAAGAGCGUGUAGGCGGCUCGAUAAGUCUGCUGUGAAAGUCCAGGGCUCAACCCCGGAACGGCAUCCGAUACUGGCGGGCUUGUGACCGGGAGAGGAGGGUGGAAUACCCAGUGUAGAGGUGAAAUUCGUAGAUAUUGGGUGGAACACCGGUGGCGAAAGCGGCUCUCUGGCCCGGAUCUGACGCUGAGGCGCGAAAGCGUGGGGAGCAAACAGG